rnacentral:lncRNA from 1 species
AGCCAUUUGAGUCAAGCUGGAGACGACGUCUUAGAACCUAGGAUGAGUCUCGUUUGGUUUUAGUCUGCAAAGCUCGUCUGCAUCAGACAGGAAUUUUCCCCAGACGCGGGUGCACGUGAAUUAAUUCAUCAGAAGGCGGUUCACGGCCUGAGUGAGGGGGACGAGGGCGGCGAAUUCCUCCGCCUCAUUCCUACCCUGACGAUUCGAGAUGCUCGCUUCACCCCACUGAGAUGUAACUCAGUUUUGUGGGAUCCCACUGCCCUCCAGGUGCCGCUCCGAGUGCUCUACACAGAUUUUCAUUCAGUCCUUGCGGCACACGAAGAGUGGCUGUACCAUUUUGCAUUCCCAGACCGAAGUGUGAAAGCUCCAGAUGCCCCACGCCCUCACCAGCCCACGGUGUUGUCAGCCUUAAUAGUGCUGACCAUUCUGGACAAGUCCCAGGUGGCCUUGGAAUGAACAAGCCCCUCCCUUCUCACGCGUACUUCUCGAGAAUACCUGAAGAAUGUGCCAGGAAUGCAACCACCUGGUCUAGGGAAGGACCGGCCGGACAGCCCUGGCUCUGCUCCUGUGCCUCCUAGGGCAGGAUGUCCCACACACUGUAGCCCUAUGAGUCACCCCUGGCUAUGGAACCCAGAGCAGAGUGCACCUUUGGGAUCUCUCAGCUGUGGUGUGAAGCGGGACACACAUAGACAAGGCUCCAUUCGUUCUGGGCAGCUUUCCCGAGCCUCGGGGACCCGCUCACCAUGGAUCCUAAGCUUCUGCUGUUCCCUGCUGCCUGCCUGUGAGUAAUAAAGUUGCUUUC